AGCUCCUCUUAAUGCGACUUGCACAGACCAUGUCUUGGAGCUGUCUGCUGCAUCAGUUUCUCACACUUGGAUCUUCAGCAAAGAUGUUGGACAGCUGAUGGUUCAGGGAGGAUGCCAAUAUCUGGCUUUUACAUUUCGCAAACCAUUCUUGAACAUUCAAUAUCCAUCCAGAAGUGGCACGUACUUUAGUCAUCUGGUCAUGUUGUUCCUGAAAUGCCAAUAAAAUUACAUUGUGAAAA